GGCCAUAGCUCACGGGCACAGCAUCUGCCUUGCCUGCAGGAGAUCCCAGGUUCAACCCCUGGGAUCUCUA